rnacentral:tRNA from 1 species
ACCUGAGUGGCUUAGUCGGUUAAGUGUCUGACUUUGGCUCAGAUCAUGAUCUCAUAGUCCAUGGAUUUGAGCCCCGUCUUGGGCU